rfam:Gordonia sp. QH-11, complete genome.
CCGGUUCCGGUUCACACCACUGAAAAAAGUCAGCGGUGACCCGGCGACC